rnacentral:rRNA from 1 species
CAACAGGGAUUGCCCCAGUAACUGCGAGUGAAGCGGCAAAAGCUCAAAUUUGAAAUCUGGCGCCUUUGGCGUCCGAGUUGUAAUUUGGAGAGACAUCUUCGGGGAUGGCAUACUGUCCUAAGUUCCUUGGAACAGGACGUCACAGAGGGUGAGAAUCCCGUGCCUGGAUGGUUGUCCAUCCCCAUUGUGAAGGGUCUUCGACGAGUCGAGUUGUUUGGGAAUGCAGCUCAAAAUGGGUGGUAAACGUCAUCUAAAGCUAAAUAUUGGCGAGAGACCGAUAGCGCACAAGUAGAGUGAUCGAAAGAUGAAAAGCACUUUGAAAAGAGAGUAAAAUAGUACGUGAAAUUGUUGAAAGGGAAGCGCUUGAGACCAGACACGGUCCGUGGUAAUCGCCCGCGCUUCGGUGCAGGUGCUCUUACCAUGACCGGUGCCAGCAUCGGUUCUGGCGGUGGGAUAAAAGGCAGGGGAAUGUAGCUUCCUCACUGGGAGUGUUAGAGCCCCUGUCACAAUGCCACCAGCCGGGACCGAGGACUGCGCUUCAGCUAGGAUGUUGGCGUAAUGGUCUUAAGCGACCCGUCUUGAAACACGGACCAAGGAGUCUAACAUCUAUGCGAGUGUUCGGGUGGAAAACCCUUGCGCGUAAUGAAAGUGAACGGAGGUGGGAACCCCGAAAGGGAGUGCACCAUCGACCGAUCCUGAUGUCUUCGGAAGGAUUUGAGUAAGAGCAUAGCUGUUGGGACCCGAAAGAUGGUGAACUAUGCCUGAAUAGGGUGAAGCCAGAGGAAACUCUGGUGGAGGCUCGCAGCGGUUCUGACGUGCAAAUCGAUCGUCAAAUUUGGGUAUAGGGGCGAAAGACUAAUCGAACCAUCUAGUAGCUGGUUCCUGCCGA